rnacentral:lncRNA from 1 species
AUGAAGUCUACCACUCCUAAUCAUCGGAAAUGCUGUGGUUUGGUCCUAUUUCCUCUGGGAUUGCUUCUGAGGAUGCUGUCUUCAUGCCAGCUGCAGGCAGUUGAAUCGCAGGCCUUCACAGGACCACUGGACUUCUGGCAGCAAACAGGAAAUCGCUCCUUUCCCUCUGACUUCACUGAGCUGGAAGACUACGAGAGUGUUCUUUGUCCCACGAUUGGCGAAUGUUCUUUCGUUAGGGGUUCAGACACCAAUGCCAUUUCUUCAGAGCAUUGUCUACACCUGCAUAGGGUUUGUAAAGAACUCCCCCUGGGCAGUGGUCUCUGCCUUCUGUUACAGAAGACGGCAAAAAUAGGAGCCGGUGUACCUCUGGCCAAUUAUUCAAUGCUCCAUCACAAGGGGAAAUUCCUUCCUCACCCCAGCUGGUGA